CACGCAAAGGGUGCCCGCGCGCGCUGGAUUCUUGGAAUCAUGAGGAUGGAGACGGGUCGCUGAGGUCGAUUCCUAGCAGGUUGGGAACCAUCAGUCGCAGACAGCAAAAUAGAUGGACCCAUAAAACGAUGCGUGUAAGACCCAGGUCGCCUUGCUUGCCUUUUCAGGACUCCGCCUCGGAUGCUCCUAUUUCCGGUUCAAUCGCUGAUUGGAUCAUCAGGGUGAUGGUAGCCUCGUAGAAUGAGCUUGGGAGUGUUCCCCCCUCUACAAAUGUUUGGAAGAGUUUCAGAAGCCCUCUAUAAAUGUCUGAUAGAAUUCACCUGUGAAGCCAUGUGGUCCUGAACUUUUGUUUGUUGGAAGAUUUUUAUUCACUGUUUUUCAAUUUUA